UGAUUUUGAAAUCGGUCGAACAGAAUC
rnacentral:sRNA from 1 species